rnacentral:rRNA from 1 species
AUCAGAAGUGCGAAUGCUGACAUGAGUAACGAUAAAGGGAGAGAAAAACUCUCUCGCCGGAAGAUCAAGGUUUCUUGUCCAACGUUAAUCGGGGCAGGGUAAGUAGACCCCUAAGGUGAGGCCGAAAGGCGUAAUCGAUGGGAAACAGGUUAAUAUUCCUGUACUUCUUAUAACUGCGAUGGGGGGACGGAGAAGGCUAGGUGGGCCAGGCGACGGUUGUCCUGGUUCAAGGGUGUAGGCUGUAUUCUUAGGUAAAUCCGGGAAUACAUUAAGGCUGAGACCCGAUGUCGAGCUGCUACGGCAGUGAAGUCAUUGAUGCCAUGCUUCCGGGAAAAGCCUCUAAGCUUCAGGUUAUAAGGAAUCGUACUCCAAACCGACACAGGUGAUCAGGUAGAGAAUACCAAGGCGCUUGAGAGAACUCGGGUGAAGGAACUAGGCAAAAUCGUACCCUAACUUCGGGAGAAGGCACGCCGGCUAGGGUGAUGAGACUUGCUCUCACAGCGUUGACUGGUC